UGGGGAAUUGUUCACAAUGGGCGCAAGCCUGAUGACGCAACGCCGCGUGGGGGAUGAAGGUCUUCGGAUCGUAAACCCCUGUCGAAUGGGACGAAAGACUCGCGAGUGAAUACUUCGCGAGAGUGACGGUACCGUUAAAGGAAGCCACGGCUAACUCUGUGCCAGCAGCCGCGGUAAUACAGAGGUGGCAAGCGUUGUUCGGAAUUACUGGGCGUAAAGGGCGCGUAGGCGGCCCUCUAAGUCAGACGUGAAAUCCCCCGGGCUUAACCUGGGAACUGCGUUUGUAACUGGCAGACUGGAGUGUGGCAGAGGGGGGUGGAAUUCCAAGUGUAGCAGUGAAAUGCGUAGAUAUUUGGAGGAACACCGAUGGCGAAGGCAGCCCCCUGGGUCAAGAUUGACGCUCAUGCACGAAAGCGUGGGGAGCAAACAGGAUUAGAUACCCCCGUAGUCCCUGAGCGGGCUGGCAAGGCGCAU
rnacentral:rRNA from 1 species